rnacentral:lncRNA from 1 species
AAAACACAUGAGACGGAAUUGACCAUCUUAACCAUUUUCAGGUGUACAAUUCAGUAGUGUCAAGUAUAUUGAGAUUGCUGUGCAGCAGGUCUCCAGAACUUCAUCAUCUUGCAAAACUGAAACUCUAUGCCCAUUGAACAAAAACUCCUUCAUUUUCACCUCCCCCCAGUUGCUGACAAAUGCUUUGUUUACUUUAAACAAAGCUUAAGCAAUACAAGAUGACUCCUGCUCUUCUCGGAAGAACCUCUUACUGAGAUGGAAGGAUCACGAAUGUUUACAAUGAGCGUCUUGUCAGUAAGGAUUUUGAGACCAG